GUAGGUGGCAAGCGUUGUCCGGAAUUAUUGGGCGUAAAGCGCGCGCAGGCGGUUCUUUAAGUCUGAUGUGAAAGCCCACGGCUCAACCGUGGAGGGUCAUUGGAAACUGGAGAACUUGAGUACAGAAGAGGAAAGCGGAAUUCCACGUGUAGCGGUGAAAUGCGUAGAGAUGUGGAGGAACACCAGUGGCGAAGGCGGCUUUCUGGUCUGUAACUGACGCUGAGGCGCGAAAGCGUGGGGAGCAAACAGGGAUUAGAUACCCUGGUAGUCCACGCCGUAAACGAUGAGUGCUAAGUGUUAGGGGGUUUCCGCCCCCCUUAGUGCUGCAGCUAACGCAUUAAGCACUCCGCCUGGGGAUACGGCCGCAAGGCUG
rnacentral:rRNA from 1 species